UUUCCUUUCAUUCGGUCGAUAAUCAUGAAUAAUCGUAAAAUCGCAAUAUUUUCUUUCACAAUAAUUGUGACUCAAAAAAUUUAAAUCGUGACACCCCUAAUCUGAUGUUUGCAUUAAAGAAAGUUGUAUUUGCUGUUUUGCUGUAUUUGCGUUUGUGUGGACUGAGGAGAAAAAAGGAGAAAUGAUGAAAAACAGGAAGGCAUGCGGAGUACAUUGGGGGAGUGGCCAAUCCGCCUCUUUGUACCCAGAUAUCCAUGUAGGAGGAGUAGCGGAGGCAAUGGCUAAAAGAAAACCCUCAAUGUACAAGACCCAAGAUAUUUUUUAGAGAGACAUUUCCGCUGGUGGCAGCGCUAUGUCUCCACAGCAUAAAUUUGCUAUUUUGAAAUAUCCAAAACUAACUAAUGUGAGACAAAUGCUAUUAUUUUCCACUCAAAUGCCUUUUCAAUUCGGUCUUCCCAGGGAACUGUCAAUUCAGAGCAAGUUGUCUAGUAGCUUCUGACAGAACGAUGAUGUCUGGACGUGGUGAGAUUGCCGAGAUGUGCUGUGGAAAUUUGAGUUGUUUGCCAAAAUCAAUCAUUACCUGCAAGUCCCGGGCAGAGGAGAGCAUGCCCCCCGCUUCUUUGACUACCUUGACUUUCCUCUUUAAACUUCAUGGUUGUUUCACCCCAAGAACAACAUGGAUACAGGAGAUCGUUCCUCUGGUCCUGAGCGGAGGAGACCCAGCGUCUGUGGAGACUCUGCCCAAUAUCCAACGCUGUCCCUGGGUGGAAGCAGGGUGAGGCUGGAGGACAGGGCCUCUCCCAGAGUGAUCACCACACACCUCUACUACCACAUGAUGCCCCCGUCUUUCUUCACGGCCAGACCCAAGGAAUCACUGGUGAUUGGAAGAAUCAUCUCACAGAUGAGGAAGUGCAGAUGUUUGAUGCUGUUUACAAAAAUAAAACUCAGAACAUCAAUUACCAGUUUAUAUGGGACUAACCAUUCAUCUUUAAAAGAAUCUGUAGCUUUGAGUAAGAAAUCCAACACAAACAAUAAAGAACAAAAGGACUUUGAGGGGGUCCUUCAUUUUGAACUGCUUAUGUUAUUGCAAAUGCUAUCUUGGUUGUUGUUUUUUUUUAAAGAUGACAUUGGUUAAGUCCUCAAUAAACACUGUGGUAAAGUUAAUCUCAAAGUCUCUCUUUCUCUGUCUCUCUCUCUUGCACUGUGUUCGUCUCAAAGAGCAUAAAGAUGUUGCAGGAGUUAGCAGUUGUUUGUAUUGUGGAAAAUCAAAAUACAUGCAUUUAAACAUAAGUAAAAUCCAAUAGUAUUGACAUCAUUGCAUAGUUUCAACCAGUUUAGUUUUUCAAAUAAUUGACAAUGAUGUGUUCGAUAUGGACAUUUAAGUAAAAAUCUACAAAGAUAGUUUGUCGAUUGUUUAAUGGUUUGAGGUAUUCUUCAAAUAAAUUAUAUCUGCAUAAUCAAUGAUAGGUAAAAUUAACGGCAUAAUUAUUCUUUUUCUAACUGCUUGGGUAAUGUAUGUAGCCUAUUUAAUUUAAGUUCAAUAGACGUCAUACAGCCCAGGCUAAAGGAGGUCAUGGGAAUCACAGUUUUAGCCGUUUUAUGGCAAACAACAAACAUGUUUAUCACACAGAGACAAAGUUAAGUCAGAAUCAGAUUAUUGUGAAAGCUUUAUCCAGUAGAAGUGGAAAAAAUGGCAUUUGAAGCUAGUGUUAGCAUAUGUAGCAUGAAGCUAACAUGACUUUUGGUAAUACUAACAAUGUUAGGCAU
ensembl:lncRNA